AACACUAGGACUGGGUCUGUUGUCAGUAACACUAGGACUGGGUCUGUUGUCAGUAACACUAGGACUGGGUCUGUUGUCAGUAACACUAGGGUCUGUUGUGAGUAACACUAGGACUGGGUCUGUUGUCAGUAACACUAGGACUGGGUCUGUUGUCAGUAACACUAGGACUGGGUCUGUUGUCAGUAACACUAGGGUCUGUUGUCAGUAACACUAGGGUUGGGUCUGUUGUCAGUAACACUAGGACUGGGUCUGUUGUCAGUAACACUAGGGUCUGUUGUCAGUAACACUAGGACUGGGUCUGUUGUCAGUAACACUAGGACUGGGUCUUUUGUCAGUAACAAUAGGGUCUGUUGUCAGUAACACUAGGACUGGGUCUGUUGUCAGUAACACUAGGGUCUGUUGUCAGUAACACUAGGACUGGGUCUGUUGCCAGUAACACUAGGGCUGGGUCUGUUGUCAGUAACAAUAGGGUCUGUUGUCAGUAACACUAGGACUGGGUCUGUUGUCAGUAACACUAGGACUGGGUCUGUUGUCAGGAACACUAGGACUGGGUCUGUUGUCAGUAACACUAGGACUGGGUCUGUUGUCAUUAACACUAGGACUGGGUCUGUUGUCAGUAACACUAGGACUGGGUCUGUUGUCAGUAACACUAGGACUGGGUCUGUAGUCAAUAACAAUAAGGUCUGUUGUCAGUAACACUAGGACUGGGUCUGUUGUCAGUAACACUAGGACUGGGUCUGUUGUCAGUAACACUAGGACUGGGUCUGUUGUCAGUAACACUAGGACUGGAUCUGUUGUCAGUAACAAUAGGGUCUGUUGUCAGUAACACUAGGGUCUGCUGUCAGUAACACUAGGACUGGGUCUGUUGUCAGUAACACUAGGACUGGGUCUGUUGUCAGUAACACUAGGACUGGGUCUGUUGUCAGUAACAAUAGGGUCUGUUGUCAGUAACACUAGGGUCUGCUGUCAGUAACACUAGGACUGGGUCUGUUGUCAGUAACACCAGGACUGGGUCUGUUGUCAGUAACACUAGGGUCUGUUGUCAGUAACACCAGGACUGGGUCUGUUGUCAGUAACACUAGGGUCUGUUGUCAGUAACACUAGGACUGGGUCUGUUGUCAGUAACAAUAGCGUCUGUUGUCAGUAACACUAGGACUAGGUCUGUUGUCAGUAACACUAGGACUGGGUCUGCUGUCAGCAACACUAGGACUGGGUCUGUUGUCAGUAACACCAGGACUGGGUCUGUUGUCAGUAACACUCGGGUCUGUUGUCAGUAACACUAGGACUGGGUCUGUUGUCAGUAACAAUAGCGUCUGUUGUCAGUAACACUAGGACUGGGUCUGUUGUCAGUAACAAUAAGGUCUGUUGUCAGUAACACUACGGUCUGUUGUCAGUAACAGUAGGGUCUGUUGUCAGUAACACUAGGGUCUGUUGUCAGUAACACUAGGACUGGGUCUGUUGUCAGUAACACUGGGACUGAGUCUGUUGUCAGUAACACUAGGACUGGGUCUGUUGUCAGUAACACUAGGACUGGGUCUGUAACACUAGGGUCUGUUGUCAGUAACACUAGGACUGGGUCUGUUGUCAGUAACACUAGGGCUGGGUCUUUUGUCAGUAACACUAGGACUGGGUCUGUUGUCAGUAACACUAGGACUGGGUCUGUUGUCAGUAACACUAGGGUCUGUUGUCAGUAACACUAGGACUGGGUCUGUUGUCAGUAACACUAGGGCUGGGUCUGUUGUCAGUAACACUAGGACUGGGUCUGUUGUC